rnacentral:lncRNA from 1 species
GAUUAUAAGAAAUUAAUAAAAUAUUUGCAAUAAUUUAAUUCCUGAUAAACUAAAUCAACUCUAAAUAUAACUAAUAUAAAAUACGAAAACGAGUCCCAAACAUCAUGGUGUCACUAAGUCAUGAGUGUCUAAAACUGUAAACUAAGAUAUAUAAACUAUCUAACUGUCCAAAAGAAGAAAUGAUAAGAGGAGUAACAAGGCCCUGCGGACACUAGCGGCUACCUUACAGUCUCCAAAGAUAGCCGACCUGAACUUAGCGAUCGUCGCGCUCUAACUCACAUGGAUCUGCACAUAAAGUGCAGGGUGUAGUAUGAGUACAACCACCUCAGUAGUAACAGAAAUAACUAAGGAACUGAGCAGUAGUGACGAGCUAAGUAAUACAGUCCAAUUAUUUAUUUUCACAAUUUACAAUAAACAUGAAUAAAUAGGUAAAUUCCAUAAAACUAACAAAUGCCACAAAGAAAUUAACAGGUAAAUGCAGCAACAUCAAAAAUAAAUGCAACCUCACAGCAAUGUCACUCCAUCACUCAUCACUCGCACUCAGCACUCAACACCCAAUACACUCAACACUCUGCGCUCACUGGGGGUGUGUACAGACUCCGGAGGAGCUUCCAAUCCCAAACGCUAAGCAAGGACAACUCACGUGCCAUCAUAUCAAUACCUGGAUCCGCACGGUCAACUCACGUGCUAUGUGGACAACUCACACGCUAUGGUAUCAAUAUCCUCACAACCAGGCCCUCGACCUCACUCAAUCAUGUACCUCACUAGCCUCACCAUCAUCGACAAAUAAGGGGACACAGCCCACAUCAAGUAUCACAACAUAUUAGCAAAUAAUAGAGACUGAGGUAAACAUGUACAAUAACUUCUAUGACUGAGUACAAAUAAUGUGAGCAUGAAUAAAGCCUAAACAUGAUCUCUAACAUGAAGGUAGACAAGUUCAACAACAAGUAACUACAUAAACAUAGAUAAUGGCCAUGAGGCCCCAUGAGAUGGACCAAGUCUUAAUCCCUCGAGGUAUACACCCACACGCUCGUCACCUAGCGUGGGUAUCACCACCAAACAAUCACAUGAUAUCAAUUUCUCUGCGUUUAUUCCCUCAAAGCCAGAGUUAAAACAGUUACUAACCUCAACAGCGUAAAAAUCCUACUCCGGGAGGCCCUCAUCUUUGGACUCAGUCUCCAAAAGCUCUGAAUUUAACCAUAAUUAGAUUAAUACCAUCAUCAUGUGCUAAAGAAUCUAUUUCCACAAUAAAACUAUAAAAUAUGCCAAAAAUCUAAAACUGGCCAAAAUUCGGCCCCCGGGUCCACUUCUCGGAAUCAGUCAAAAAUAGCAUAAUAAUAAACCCUGUUCUCUAUAAAGUCUAACCAUAUAAAGUUUAUCAAAAUCGGACUACGUUUGGUCCCUCAAAUCCUCACUGAAAACUCUCUAAAACUCAAACCCUAACUCCCUCAAUUUUACUUUGAAAUCAUCAAACAAAUCCGAAACACGAUGAUGGAUUCAUGAAUUAUAAUCAAAACCGAGUAGAGAACACUUACCCCAAUCCAUAUGGUGAAAAUCGCCUCCAAAAUUGCCCAAAUCCGAGCUCCCCAACUCAAAAUAUGACCGAAUGAACAAACCCUAAUUUUAUAUAUUUUUCUGUCAGCUAUUCUUCCUCGUUUCUCAUGCUAAACGAUUUUGAAACUCACUUUUUAUGCCUCCAAUGGACUCCUUGUGAAAUUCUAGUCAAGUUAGGCUUUUGAAUCACUCCAUUUGACCUUAUAAUGAAUGAGAUACGUAGGUUUUAAUAUUUGCAAAUAGUGCAUAUUUUUAAAUACACCGUCAAUGGCAAUUUCGUAAUUAAUCUGAAAAAUCUGGUAACCUAAUUCUUAGUAAAAUGAUCAUAAAAUCCUCAUACAAUGUCUAAAUUUGAUGAUUCUCUUUACUACGCGUCCCUGAUUACGAUACGGAUCUAAUGCUUCAAUAAAAAAAAUUGGAGCUCAAUUAUUCAAUAUGAUAUCAUUUAUGCUUGAAGAAACGACGUCGAAACAUAAGAAAAACGAGCGCAACACAACCCAACCCUAUCCGAAACUCACCCGAGGCCCUCGGGACCUCAAACAAUAAUUUCAACAAGUCAUAUAUCACUACCUGAACUUAGUCGAACCUCCAGAACACCCAAAACAAUACCAAAACACCAAAUCAACCUCGAAUUCAAGCCUAAGAAUUUCUAAACUUUCAACUUUCGGCAAUUCAACCCUAAUUCUACCACGGACCUCCAAAUUAUAUUUCGUACACACUCCUAAGUCUAAAAUCACCCAACGAAGCUAAUCAAAUAAUAAAAAUCUAAAUCCGAAUUCAUUUACUCAUAAGUCAACUUCCAAUUGACUUUUCUAACCUAGCUUUUUAACUAAGAGACUAAGUAUUCAUUUCACUCCAAAAUUACUCUGAACCCAAACCUACCAACUCAAUACAGCUCAACACAGCUGAACAAUACAUAAAGAAGAAUAGAUGGGGGAAAUGAUGCUAUAACUCUCAAAACGACAGGCCAGGUCGUUACAAAAAACCUUCCUAAAUCCUUUGAAUUUCGGAUCUAAAAAGGCCGAAAAAUCCUAAAUCUGUCCUUUUUUGAUUUCUCCUCAAUCUCGGCUCGUUUGAACUUGAAAUUUACAUCAACUAAUUGCUCUUGAUGAGAUCAAUCAACUGAUGUUAGUCUUGGUUCAUCUCACGGCCACCGAAUUCCGACUAACUCACCACUGGCCGGCUAAAGCUUCAUCGCCAUCAUUGUUAGUCAAUUCGCCUCAAUUGCCGUCUCUUUUAGAAUCCAAAUCAGUGCAUCUAUCUUUUCCUUUCUUUUGUUUCUUUUUCUGUUUCAGAUUAUCACUUUGGUGUUAAUUUCUUUUGAUUAGAUUAGUUAUUAAUUUGUUUAAACUUAGUGAAAGUAAGAUUAAUUAGUUAAUUGCAUGUGUUUUAGGUUAACUGAAUCAGCUUUAAUAAUUUAAUAAUUUUGCCAUGUUUAAUUAGUAAGCAGUUUUUAUUUUGUUUGAUCCUUGAUUUGGUCUUAAUUGUUUGAUUUCUGAUGUUUGAAUGUUAAUUGUAAUUAAGGGGGUGAAAGGAUAAUAACAGAAACUUUAAGAGGGUAAUUGAAAACCAAAUUUAGGGAAUCUAUCUAGUUGCUCAGGAAGCUUCUAGAAAAAGGACUUAAGUGCAAUAACAUAAAUAAAUUAAGUCAGAUUUUGGAUUAAAAAAAGUGAAUUUUCAGAAAUUAAAAAGAGUGGAAAAUGAGAAGAAACUUCUAGAAAUGGACAAUUGUCCGAAUACUGUCACACCCUUUUUUAACCAAACUUCACCUAACCCUCUAAAAUUAAUAAAAGUAAUUUAGUAAAAACUUGAAAAAGGAUUUUAAUUAAAAAGUGACAAAUAUUGUAUUCAAAAAGAAAACUCAGAGUCGCCACCUGACAUGUGAUUUCGGUGUGCCAGGCCACCGGUUUUUUUAGAAAAUAUUUUUCCUUUUAAAACACUUGGACUCAAAACUAAGUCCGCACCAGAGGUUUAGUAUGGUUGCGUACCCGAUCUAGUUGACUUUUAGAAUAUUCAAGUUAAAGUAAAAUCACAGUAAAGCAGAAUAAACACACACGAGGCUUGAGGUCGUCCCCGCCUAAUAAAAGAAAAUGAAAAGGAAAGGAAAAGAAAAAUCUUAAGCUAACCUAUACUACGACUUCUCCACCAUGCUCGACAAGGCCUCCAAAAUAUUUACAUAGUUCUUUGGGUCAUACCCCGAUAAUAAUAUAUACAAACCCCUCGGGGCAUUUCUCGGAUAAAUUCAACUAGGGGAACGACCUCUUUCCUCGAAAUUAAAAGCAAGCAAAUAGAAAAAUUCUAAUAUUGCCUACCCAAAUGUUGUCGGCCUAAUAUGCUCCUAGCGAAUAAUAAUAAUAAAACGAGAAUAAGUAAAUAAGUGAAAAACUAAAAAAAAAAUCAAUUCGGUGUCAUGUUCUGUUAACUUAUCAUUAUUUUCAUGUAUUUCGACCAAGCCCAAUUCCUAAGUAAGUAAGCAAAUUAACACUAAUGGGCCAAGUCUCUCUCCCAACUCCCAUGGUCCUAUAACUAUUCAAAUAAUUUCAUACCCAACAACGCUAAAUCAACAAGGUAAUGCAUUUAACAGAACACCCUAGGCAUUCAUAGAAGAUAAGAACAAGGAAAGCUAAAAUAGCAAUAACUACUACAAGUUAGGGAAAAUGAAUCAAGGCCAUUAGGAGGAGCCAAUACUAUGACUAUAUCAGUAGCUCAAUCAUAAUUCUCGCUGCAUAAUAGACAUCAUCUCAAAACAAAAAAUUAAUCCAAGAGGACCAACAAAUUUUUUAAACAGCCUUAAUAAUCACAAUGAAUCGAACAUCAAAUUGGCCCAUUUUCAUUGCAAUCUGGACAUCAUUGGAAGUCAUAUUCAUUUUUUAGAACAGUAGUUUUUGCUCAAAUGAAAGAGAUAUAGCUUUUUAGAACAACUCAUGAAAUUUGGGAAUAACAGUGAUAUACUGGAGGCCUUCAUGGUGACAACAUCUAUCCAUAUUAUUGAAACACACAUCAAAAAUACUUGAUGAUUAUAUGGAAAGUAGCAAAGACAGUGGCAUAAGUUCUUGAACAACACAUGAUUCUUUUUCUUCCUUUCUUUACUUUUACAUGUACCUAACAAUUUAAGAGAAUUGAAGAUCCUUCACGACUCAUUACAAGUUUAAACCAGCCGAAGGAAAGCAAAACAACAUACCAACAACCUCAUUUCUCGAAUCAUAAGGGACUACAAAACACUAUUUCAACCUUAAGGUCGAUUCACCAUCAAAUCCAAUUGGGAUAACGAGUUAAUAUAUAACCAGAACCACCUUUCAAUCCACAUAAAGCAAAAUCCUAGCAUUAAAGGUUGGGACAUGAAGAAAAAUCAAAUAACAGAACCUCGUUAAAGAAAAAAAAAUCUAUCACAAUGAACUUGAGUUAAUCUUUCAAAACUGUUAGUAUUUACCAUAUUUCAAAACUGGCAACUCAUUCAACGUUAUUCACCAAAGAAUACAGAAGGUCGGCAAAGCGAUACCAUGGAAUCAAACACAUUUCUAAUUCAUUCAAACUCUUAUGAAGAGACUCGCCAAAAGGAAACUCAUAGAGUAACAAUAACCAGCAGCCAAAAUCAGCAAGAAAAAUCAGUUAAAUCUGAAACUACUACUGAUUAGUCUAUCUUAAAUGGCUCCCUCUAUGGCUUUGAUUCAUAAUACACACAAGAGUAGGAGGAAGAAAUGAACCUGAAAGCGCUCUUAAUUAAUUCUGAUCGCAAUCAAAUACACUUAAAUAUGGCAGUGAAGAUCCACGACAAACAACAUCCAAGAAAGAGGAACUCGCGAUCUCGAACGGACCUCAACUGGCAAGCAAUCGACGACUCGAGCGACCUCGAUUCAAUACCAAAACUCAAAUUGAAACUCAAAAAUUGAAAAGCAGUAAAGGGAUGAAAACAUAUAUUUUGUGUUAGUUUUUUCGGAUCUUUCCGAAAAUAAAGGACUCAAAAUAAAAACCUAAAACCCUAGCUUUUUCUGUCAAGAAAUACCCCCUUUCAAUCUCUGUCCAGACCCAAAUAUAUAGCCCUCUCUCGAAGCUUCUCUCCUUCCUUUGCAAGAAAUAGCAAAAACCCUUCAAAAAUCCGAAAAUCCCACCAAAAUUCCGAAAAUUUCCUUCUUUUUGGUAAAAAUCUGGACAAAUGGAGGGGUAUGAUUAAUUUUCAUUAAUCAUAUCCUACCCUUCGUCCAUCAUCUAUCGUUGAAAGAGAUUCACGUAUGAGAGAGCAAAAUACAACGUAGAUUCGAACCAAAAUCGGUUAUUUGUCAGGCCACGUGGAAGAAAGAGAGAAGGGAAAGGGGGACCAUGAGUUAACUCGCCGGGUUGGCAAGUUUUUCCGGUGAGUUUGGGGUAAAGGAUGCGGGCAGAGACGGGGAAGGGGGGCGCCGAUUUGGGUAGU